AUGCUAGCUAAGCAUAUUCGUUUUGCUGAGAAACAUAAAUUGAAGAUAACUGAACAUAGCCUAAUUGUAUUUUUAAUGUCAUACAUAACGUGAUUACAUGACACAGUACAGUCACGGAUGGAAAUUAAACUCCGUAAACAUCUGAUAAUAUAUUUUAAAACAUAACGGCAGACAGUCAGCUAGCCUCGUUCAGGUUGAGGGGCUUUUCCGCACCGGACUGUCAAUCAAAUUGUAAAAAUCACAAGACCGCUUAACUCUAUGGUUUUGGCUCCAAAUCGAGAAAAUGGCCGCGCCCGCCAUUGAGCUUCAAAACGUGUUUUAGAGACCCACGGAGAGUCAAUGGGUGACGUCACAGUAGCUGUGUCCAUAUUUUUUACAGUCUCUGAUCUUAACCCAAUCUCUCCUGGUCAACACACUUUCCCCUUACGUCACAUCCUUACUAGGGUAGUCUUCCAACUACUCUCGGGAAAGUAAUACAGUGCCUCCUAGUGGUCAGAAUACACUCAACCUGUAACAUCUAUUAUUGAACACAACAAAUUGCAUGGUAUGAAACGGGAAUGAACUAUUUUUUCUUGAUAAAAUCAUUGUUUUCAUAGAACUUACGACCAGAGAUGUUUGCUUAACAACGGUGCGACUAGAACUACAAACCAGAGUGUCUGCAUAAGGACGGUCCAAUUAGAACUACGAAGCAGAGUUUUGCUUGACAACGGCAACCCUGUACUUUGAGUAUUUUUUGUUGCAGCUGGCUAGAGUGUCGCCGGAUUGUGCAGUACACAAGUCUUGUACAGUAUCCAGUCUUCUGGGCCAUGUAACAGUAGGAACAGAGACGAGACUAACGGCAACCAAUGAACAAGUUGAGGAUGUUUCAGUGUUGGAGGGGGAUUUGACUGACGACGUAACGUAAGUGAUGAUAACGAGGGAGACCAAGCAGCGGUGCUGCCAGAGAGAGCAGAUGAAUCCCUUUUCUUGAACAAUUUGGCUUUCUUUUAUUUAAAGUUGCAGGCAAAACUUUUACUGCCAGCAUCAGUCAUACAGUCUAUUAUUGAGGAUUUUCAAGCAGUGCAUGAUAUCAGUCAGUCUCAUUUACUUCAUAAGUUGGACGAAAAGCUGGUAUCAUUGGAUAUCUCUGACCGUGAGAGAGAGAGGUUCUUAAAUCCGAGGAUUUGUUUCGGGCAUGCAACACUGGUACCUUGAAAACUGAUCAAAGACAAAAAACGGUUUUUAAAAAUCAGUUUAGAUACAUUGAGCCAGUCCCACCUUAUCUUGGAAAGAAUGAUAUGGGAUCACAGAGUGGCUUUAGUGAAAACUUCAGUAAAGGCACCCAUUUCUGCAGAUUAUGUACUAGAGCCCGACCGAUAUAUCUAUAAUAUAUUAAUAUAUAUUAUAUAAUAAACAAAAAAAAAACGAUGAUUAUUUAUCUGUACUUGUCUGCUUGAACGUUGUAAUUGCUAUUUACUACAAUUAUCCAGUAGAGGGAGCUCUAAUACAAGUGUGAACUGCAGCAGCUGACGCGCUACUUCUCUAAUAAGACGUUUGUUACUCGUGCCUCAUCCAAUAUUCUCCACUGCAAGACUUGUCUGCACAGAUUCGGUUGCGGCAAUAAAGGUGAAAAGAAAACAAUUGCAUCAUACAAAGACAGCGUGCAGCACAGCAUGCAGCAUAACAUCGCACACUUCAAUCUCUUUCCUUGGGAUCUUGGUAAGUUAAAUGUUAAAUUUGCUAAAGUAUCGUAACUGUAGCAGCAACACGUGUGCUAUUGACUCUGUGUUUCCUUGAAAAUAGCAUUAGCCACACGUGGCGUUUAAUAUUUUUCAGUUUGCACACUUCAGUUUCUUCCUUUGGGAUUUCAGCGAGUUUAAAUUUGAAAUUUAGCUAAAAUAUCGCCAUUGUAGCAGCAACACGUGUGUUAUUAACUCCGUGUUUCCUUGAAAAUAGCAUUAGCCACACGUGGUAUGUAUAGCUAUUGAGUUUCUCUCAUAUAAAGUUGAAUGUUGCUAUUUGAAAGCGUGAAUCGCACUGUUAUUGUAUCAUACGUGUAUGAAUGUGCUAUGUAACAUGUGUAUGAAUGUGCCAUGUAAUAACCUUGUGUUAAUUUUAAGUAGGCUAUAGCUCAUUCAAGGUGGCUAUUAGUUGAGCCUAUGCACUUAAAUGAAGUUAGCUAAUGCAGUACUGUUAGAAACCAUGCACUAGCGCUUAGCAAGUGCGCUACAUUUGGGUAUAUGAUGUAGCCAUAUCUUCUAUUGUGCAUGACAGUGCAAGAGGGUUAGUUCACAUGCAUUUAAAUGAUUUUACAAUCAACUAAUGAUUUACUUGAUUGUUAAAGGUUUAUUGCCAUGUAUUUAUAUUGAGUUCAUGGUUUAAAAAAUUAUUUGCU